rnacentral:lncRNA from 1 species
ACGAGGGUAUCAUAUUUGGUAGUGUUGACUAACACACAUAUCAACCUAGCAUUCAUCGCAUUAUCGAUCUCGAUGGAGAAGCCCACAAAUCAAACGCGUGCAGUAGCCCUGCUGCUCUCCCAACUGUUGCUCGCGUGCUUUGCUUUUCAUGCGCAGUGUAAGUCACUAGCACAUACACAACGAAGCUAUUUGCUUUCUGAUUUUUCUCAUAUGUUUUCUUUCAUUAAUUUCUUUAGUUCGUGUUUUAAUAUACAAUUGUCAGUUUUUUUCAUUUUGUCAUUCCACAGGUCGAACCACCGAGGGCAUGGACAACAAGAAAAUCAAUAUACCAGGCGGAUUGUGCGUCCAUCAUAGGGACUGCACACC